rnacentral:misc_RNA from 1 species
AUAUCUAACAAUAACCAUGGUAGCCAUGACCUGUAAGAAAACUUAGAGCAGAUGGCUUCCUUGUUAAGAGCGAUUUGAUCACUGUUUUGAAAUAUCAAUAUCAUCAAAUUCUCAAGAAUUAAACCAAACCCACUUGAGAAAUCCAUUAAAUUCUUCCAGAAACGGUUCAGCUAUGCAUUACACCCUAAGAAACAAACAAAAAUCCAAAAUUCUCCACACUGAAACUGACCCAGUUCAGAAUUCUGACAAAAGAAUGCGAGAAACCACACCUGAGUGACAUCCUCAGCAAUG